CGCGUAGGCGGUUUUUUAAGUCAGAGGUGAAAGCCCGGGGCUCAACCCCGGAAUAGCCUUUGAAACUGGAAAACUUGAAUCUUGGGGAGGUCAGUGGAAUUCCGAGUGUAGAGGUGAAAUUCGUAGAUAUUCGGAAGAACACCAGUGGCGAAGGCGACUGACUGGACAAGUAUUGACGCUGAGGUGCGAAAGCGUGGGGAGCAAACA
rnacentral:rRNA from 1 species